GUAGCUCAUCGCUGAUGCGGCUCCCUGGUUGGCCGACCUGCACCUCCACCUGGACUAUUACGUUCCUGGUCAAUGGCCUCCUUACUCGGGCUCCUACUUUUCUUCCUGUUGAUGGUCGCCACCUCCAGCAGCUUAAAACUGUGAUUGCCUUCCAUUGGGUGUUGCUGGAUGUUGUUAGAUUUUUUUGCUGAUGGAAGACUUCUGGAUACUUCAAAUUGUGCCAAGGGUGAUGCGGACUCUGGGCACGGUGCAA